GGUGAACGCUGGCGGCGUGCUUAAGACAUGCAAGUCGAACGCAGUCUUCGGACUGAGUGGCGCACGGGUGAGUAACACGUAACUGACCUACCCCCAAGUCGCGAAUAACCAGCCGAAAGGAUGGCUAAUACGUGAUGUGAUGAUCCGCUGUGGCGGAUCAUUAAAGACUUGAUCGCUUGGGGAUGGGGUUGCGUUCCAUCAGCUAGUUGGUAAGGUAAAGGCUUACCAAGGCAACGACGGAUAGCCGGCCUGAGAGGGUGGCCGGCCACAGGGGCACUGAGACACGGGUCCCACUCCUACGGGAGGCAGCAGUUAGGAAUCUUCCACAAUGGGCGCAAGCCUGAUGGAGCGACUCCGCGUGAGGGAUGAAGGUUCUCGGAUCGUAAACCUCUGAACCAACGAGGAAAGACCCGACAAGGGAGAUGACGGUAGUUGGGUAAUAGCACCGGCUACCUCCGUGCCAGCCGCCGCCGUAAGAC
rnacentral:rRNA from 1 species